CUUUGCCCCUCGCCUCAGCCUCAACUCAUGUCGAAUCUAUCCAAAAUCAGAAUCAUGGCGUCAAAUAUGCUAAGGGAACGAAGCCCAUGCGAAAAUAAUCAAAUUACAACACAAAUCCCGAAAUUAACAAACUCGCCCCCCCGGUCCACGUCUCGAAAUCCAAAAAAAAAUUAUAUCAAUAAACCCCUUAUCCUCCCACGAGUCCAUACAUACAAAGAAUACCAAAAUCCGACAACGAAUGACCCCUCAAACCCUUAAUCAAAGGUCUCCAAUCUCAAGCCCUAGUUUCUUCAAUAUUUACCCACAAAUUUCCAAAAAUUUCAAUCCUAAUCAAUGGAAUAACACCAUAGGAACGAGUUUUAUGUUUAAAAAUCUUAUCUCAAUGAAGUUCCCUUGGAUUCCCUCUUCAAAAUCCCCCAAAAAGCUCCAAAAUCGAAUUAAAAAUGGUGAAGAAAGGCUGAAAUUCGCGAAGGAUGAAAUAUAUACUUUCUGACCCAGGCUUUUUGCACCUGCGGUCUAUUGCCGCUUCUGCGCUACCGCUUCCGCGGUCAAAGACACCGCUUUUGCGGUUUUUCACUUAAGUACCACUUCCGCACCUAUAACCCAGACUCCGCAUCUGCGGUCCGCAGGUGCUGUCGCACCUCCUUUUUACCACCCGAGGGGGCAUAUAAGGAAGUUUUUUAAAUUUAAGUGACAAUUGAAACUGGAUUAUUUAUUAAAAUUCAGAUUCGCCACUUGGGAUAACUUAUGGUGUCCCAAGUCAUCGGUUUAAAUCCCAAAUCGAGGAAGUUUGACUCUAUUUUACAGUCUGCGAACACAGAAAUCCGGGUAAGGAACUCUGUUAACCCGGGAGAAGGUGUUAGGAAUUCCCGGGUUCCGUGGUUCAAGCACGGUCUCUUAAACUAUUAUAAUUGGCCUAUUAUCUGAUUUUAAUACAUGUUUUAGCCUAUGGUGCAUUUUUAGCUUAUUAACCGCUUUUAAUUAUUUUAGGAAGAUUAAACGUUAUUUAAAACUUGCCUUGAACCACGCCACAUGAAAUGCACCCGCGGUCCACGACACAUUUUACUUAACGUUGUUGAAAUUGGGUCACAUGAAAUGCACACCCGAAUUUAAUAAAUAAAGAAAAUCAAUUUAAAUAGCGCCUAAAGCAACUAGCGCAUUUGAAUUAUUUUCCUACUUUGAGAUUAUUGUGAAACCAAGAGUUUGUGGAAAUUAUUGUUCGGAGAGAUGUGCACUUAUUAUUAAGCUAACAGGCCAAGAUAUAAAUGUGAUUGACAUUAUCCAAUACGAAAGAGAUGAACCAGCUUGUGCUUAUUUUGUUUAAGGAAUUGGGUCAGGCAUGAUUCUAUUGGGCUAAAUUUCUUUAACUUCUCGUUUGAAAUUAUUUCCUGCAGGCCCUAUUACUAAACUAACUUAGGCCCAACAUCACUUGCUAUUCUUAAAUCCUAAGAAUUCAAUUCUAAUGACGCCCACUGCAGAAUAUCAAAGAACUACUCUAAUGAGUAAACUUAUUGCAACAUGAUUUCAACCAAACAAUAUUCAAACAAUGAUCAAAAGGGUAAUUCUCAUCAAAUAAAACUUCUUCAAAGAAAAGAGAAAGAUUUAGAUUUUUACGGCAAAACACCCAUUUGUUAACAUGUACUAAACAAAAUAAGGAACAUCCAAAACUAUAUUUAACAAAAUUAUCUCAUGAGAAAUAACACGAAUUCACUUGAGCAAAGCACAAAAUAAGAUUCAAAUGCUAGGAUUAGAAAAUGAACCUUUACAUUGGCCGAAUCCAAACUUUAAACUUCUGUGACUCAAUCAUCUAGCCGAGGACAAGGACUACGACCGCAACCAAUAACGAUGACAUCAAACGAAGCUAACGAACACAUUAAACCCAAAAGGAAACACAAACAAUCGAGCUAGCGAAGAACAGGGAAAUGGAUUGUGCCCGUUUGUGGUUCAGGUUGUCGCUGUUUUUGGUUGAUUCUCGUUGUUGAUUUCAGAGGUGUUUUGGAGUCAUUUUUGGGAUGGAGAAGAGGGCUGGCUUGGGGUGGUUGAGGGUAGCAAUUUUGGCAGUGUUUCGUUGCACUUUUGGGACUGUUUUGGAGCUAAUUUCAAGCUGAAACAGGGUAACGUUUUGGUAGUUAAGGACUGUGAAAAUGGCCAGCCUUCAUGACUGUUUUGAGAGGAGGAAAACAGAGGUGUUUGGAUGGUGUUGAGGCUUCUGAUUUGGUGGUGAAAACAGAGGUUCAUGGCUGCAUUUUCGGGCAUAUUUUCAGCUCCCUUUUUGGAGCUUUUGAUCAUCUUUUCUAUGGCUUUUCAUGGAGAUUCAAGGAGCUUUUUUACAUGGUUUAAAUGGAAGAAAGAUUAGUUAUUUUUUACAUGAC
rnacentral:lncRNA from 1 species